rnacentral:rRNA from 1 species
UACGGAGGGGGCUAGCGUUGUUCGGAAUUACUGGGCGUAAAGCGCGCGUAGGCGGACCUGCAAGUCGGGGGUGAAAGCCCGAGGCUUAACCUCGGAACUGCCUUCGAUACUGCGGGUCUCGAGUCCGGGAGAGGUGAGUGGAAUUCCUAGUGUAGAGGUGAAAUUCGUAGAUAUUAGGAGGAACACCAGUGGCGAAGGCGGCUUACUGGACUGUAACUGGCACUGAGGCUCGAAAGCGUGGGGAGCAAACAGG